rnacentral:lncRNA from 1 species
UGUUAGGAUCGAAAUAAGCAGGUGUAAUGCGGAAGCUAGCAAAGCAAACCUCAAAAGACCAUGAGUAAGAAGACAAACGAGAAAUAUACCAAAAGAGACAGAUUUAACGUGGUUCGGUCAAUCGACCUACGUCCACAAAGGAGAUGAGCAAUCCAUUAUAAAUAUGAGAGUACAAAAUAUGGAGAGAAACAACCUCAAACAAUUCACUCUGAAUACAAGGAGGUACACAAAACUCUCCCCCAUAACCGCAACUCUCAAAACCCUAGGACUACAUUGUGAAUGCUAAUUAAGUUAGAAGGAACAAGCCUAUAUUUAUAGAGUCCUAAANCAAACGAGAAACACACCAAAAGAGACAGAUUUAACGUGGUUCGGUCAAUCGACCUACGUCCACAAAGGAGAUGAGCAAUCCACUAUAAAUAUGAGAGUACAAAAUAUGGAGAGAAACAACCUCAAACAAUUCACUCUGAAUACAAGGAGGUACACAAAACUCUCCCCCAUAACCGCAACUCUCAAAACCCUAGGACUACAUUGUGAAUGUUAAUUAAGUUAGAAGGAACAAGCCUAUAUUUAUAGAGUCCUAAAACCUUUCCUACAAGAAAAGGACUAGUCAAAAUAUUAAAACCUUUUCCUAAAAGGAAAACUUAUUUAUGGUAAGAAAUCAGGGCAAAUAA